CUUAGUUGACUUAGGUUGGUUGUGCUAAUAAUAAAAUAGGAGGCAAGUGGACAAGCCACCUUUUAAGGACUUAACGUCCAAAGCCUCUCCAAAGUGGGAAUAGAUGAACUGCUAGGGUAUUAACUUUAGAAAAAGAACAAAAAUUAGAUAAAUAGCAGGUUUUAGUCUUGGAGAUUUGACGGCAGAACUUUUGAGAAAAAGGGCUAAGACGCUUUAGCAUCGGGUGAAAAACUAUGCAAACUAGGGACGUUGGUUUGCUCAGGUAUUACAAGAUUUCAGUGUAUUUUUGUUCAGUUAAUUUUGGUCAAUUGAUAAUUAUGGUAGUAUAAGAGAUAUGAAUUUAUGAUUAUGCCAUGAAUAAUAGGCAUACUAAUUAUUAUAUAAUAAUAGGAUGGUAGUGAUUAUAUAAGUAUUGAUAAUUGUAAAGAUGAAUUGGGAUUGAAAACUGGACGCCGACUCCGUUCCGUCAAUGCCUUUACGAAAUUCUACAAAAAAUAAUAUGAAACUACUGCUACUUGAAAUCCUUACUACUAUAUUUAAGAAUGAAAAUAUAGGAAUCAUGAUGUCAUGAUUGAUAGUAAUAAUAAGCUAAUGGUUGGUGGAAGUAAAAUCUUGCCAUGAAAAACUAAUGUUGAUGUAGUGUAUAUAAAAUGGAAAUAUACUAGAAAGGGACUUCUAUAUGUAAAAUACAAAAUGAUUAUCUACUAAGUGGUUAAUAGUGAAUAAGUCACAUUAAUGUGUAAUGAUGAUGACAUGUGAAAUGGUAUAUUAAGAUAGUGGUGGAUUCCCGGCAUAAGAAAUAGUAUUAUGGAAUUGUAGAGUUAUUUCAGAAGCUAAUGUUUUGGCUAUUUUGGUUGGCAAUUUGGCGUACUAGUUUUUAUUAGUUGGAUCCAGUUUGAUUUUGAUUUUGACUCGUCCUAAGAUUAUGAAAUUAUUUGCCUAGAUUAAUUAGAACGUGUUAUUUAAUAUUUUGGAUAGAUUUAGAGCCUUUGGAGACCGAGUCGAGGGACGAGGGCAUCUCGGAGUAGGAUUUUACGUUGUUGAGGUAAGUAACAGUUUUAACUCUAGCUUUGAGGGUAUAAACUUAGAGAAUUUGAUAUCGUGUGAUUGUUUGGAGGUGAUACCCAUGCUAGGUGACGAGCGUGUAGGUGUAUACCUCGAGGGAUGGAGACUUGGUCCUUCCCGUGAGGCCUCAUGGCCAUCAUCUGUGUUUAUGUAGUUAUUUGUUGUUGAACUUGUCUACCUUCAUGUUAGAGAUCAUGCUUAGGC
rnacentral:lncRNA from 1 species